UACGUAGGGUGCGAGCGUUAAUCGGAAUUACUGGGCGUAAAGCGUGCGCAGGCGGUUCGUUGUGUCGGCGGUGAAAGCCCUCGGCUCAACUGAGGAAGUGCACCCGAAACUGGCGAGCUUGAGUACGAAAGAGGAUCGCGGAAUUCCCGGUGUAGAGGUGAAAUUCGUAGAUAUUGGGAAGAACACCGGUGGCGAAGGCGGCUCACUGGCUCGUUACUGACGCUCGGCACGACACGUGGGGAUCAAACAGG
rnacentral:rRNA from 1 species